rnacentral:rRNA from 1 species
UACGAAGGGGGCUAGCGUUGUUCGGAAUCACUGGGCGUAAAGCGCACGUAGGCGGACCGUUAAGUCGGAGGUGAAAUCCUGGGGCUCAACCCCAGAACUGCCUUCGAUACUGGCGGUCUUGAGUCCGGGAGAGGUGAGUGGAACUGCUAGUGUAGAGGUGAAAUUCGUAGAUAUUAGCAAGAACACCAGUGGCGAAGGCGGCUCACUGGCCCGGUACUGACGCUGAGGUGCGAAAGCGUGGGGAGCAAACAGG